rnacentral:rRNA from 1 species
UACGAAGGGGGCUAGCGUUAAUCGGAAUUACUGGGCGUAAAGCGUGCGCAGGCGGUUUCGUAAGUCUGUCGUGAAAUCCCCGGGCUUAACCUGGGAAUGGCGAUGGAGACUGCGAGGCUAGAGUUUGGCAGAGGGGGGUAGAAUUCCACGUGUAGCAGUGAAAUGCGUAGAGAUGUGGAGGAACACCGAUGGCGAAGGCAGCCCCCUGGGUCAAAACUGACGCUCAUGCACGAAAGCGUGGGGAGCAAACAGG